UACGGAGGGUGCGAGCGUUAUCCGGAUUCACUGGGUUUAAAGGGUGCGUAGGUGGGAAUGUAAGUCAGUGGUGAAAUCUCCGUGCUUAACACGGAAACUGCCAUUGAUACUAUGUUUCUUGAAUUUUCUGGAGGUUAGCGGAAUAUGUCAUGUAGCGGUGAAAUGCUUAGAUAUGACAUAGAACACCGAUUGCGAAGGCAGCUAACUACAGGGAUAUUGACACUGAGGCACGAAAGCGUGGGGAUCAAACAGA
rnacentral:rRNA from 1 species